UACGUAGGGUGCGAGCGUUGUCCGGAAUUAUUGGGCGUAAAGAGCUCGUAGGCGGUUUGUCGCGUCGAAUGUGAAAACCCGGGGCUCAACCCCGGGCCUGCAUUCGAUACGGGCAGGCUAGAGUUCGGUAGGGGAGACUGGAAUUCCUGGUGUAGCGGUGAAAUGCGCAGAUAUCAGGAGGAACACCGGUGGCGAAGGCGGGUCUCUGGGCCGAUACUGACGCUGAGGAGCGAAAGCGUGGGGAGCGAACAGG
rnacentral:rRNA from 1 species